rnacentral:rRNA from 1 species
GACGAACGCUGGCGGCGUACUUAACACAUGCAAGUCGAACGGAAAGGCCCUGCUUGCAGGGUACUCGAGUGGCGAACGGGUGAGUAACACGUGGGUGAUCUGCCCUGCACUUCGGGAUAAGCCUGGGAAACUGGGUCUAAUACCGGAUAGGAGCCAUUUUUAGUGUGAUGGUUGGAAAGUUUUUUCGGUGUAGGAUGAGCUUGCGGCCUAUCAGCUUGUUGGUGGGGUAAUGGCCUACCAAGGCGGCGACGGGUAGCCGGCCUGAGAGGGUGGACGGCCACAUUGGGACUGAGAUACGGCCCAGACUCCUACGGGAGGCAGCAGUGGGGAAUAUUGCACAAUGGGCGCAAGCCUGAUGCAGCGACGCCGCGUGGGGGAUGACGGCCUUCGGGUUGUAAACUCCUUUCGCUAGGGACGAAGCUUUUUGUGACGGUACCUAGAUAAGAAGCACCGGCUAACUACGUG